AGCACAAAAAUUUACGAUACAUGUAUAGGAUGCACUCAAUGUGUACGAGCUUGUUUCAUGGAUGUAUUAGAAAUGAUACCUUGGGAUGGAUGUAAAGCGAAGCAAAUUGCUUCCCCGCCGAGAGCCGAAGUUUGUGUGGAUUGUAAGGCCAACUCCACCGCGCGAUCCUAUCCUAUCCGGUCCCGUUUGUUUGGGAUAAAAGAAACAAAGGAGGCGGCCCAGCGCGCGACGGCCCGGACCCAUCUUAUCCGUUUUGUGUCCGGACCGACCCAUUUCGAGCGCAAACUUGCGCCGGGUUUGGGUCGCGACGGCCACCAAACGGACGCGCGCUCGUCCGCGUUGGGGCCGCGUGGCAGGCGGCCACCCACCUCCCACCCACCCACAUCAAUGCGCACGAGCGGACGGCCUCACCUGUCAUCCGCACGUCGAGCGGUCGCCAUCCUUCUUUAA
rnacentral:rRNA from 1 species